rnacentral:rRNA from 1 species
CGGGCGGGUGAGUAACACGUGGAUAACCUACCUAUAAGACUGGGAUAACUUCGGGAAACCGGAGCUAAUACCGGAUAAUAUAUUGAACCGCAUGGUUCAAUAGUGAAAGACGGUUUUGCUGUCACUUAUAGAUGGAUCCGCGCUGCAUUAGCUAGUUGGUAAGGUAACGGCUUACCAAGGCAACGAUGCGUAGCCGACCUGAGAGGGUGAUCGGCCACACUGGAACUGAGACACGGUCCAGACUCCUACGGGAGGCAGCAGGA